GUUGGGGAGAGGGAAAAUAAGAAGAGUAAGAGGAAACAGAGGUGCAUAUUUGUGGACUCAUCUCCCACUCUGUUGCUGGCCUAUUUCUCUCAUGUCUGAUCCAAAGGAGAGGCUUAUUCUUUUCCAUAGAAAUGAUAUCAUCUUACAUCUUCUGGAUGUGUGUAAGAAAAAAGUAAACGAGGAUGAAUUCUAAAGUAAAGACCAGAGAAGAAAAGAAAAAAGAAACAACCACAACAAAAAAGAGACAGGGAACUUCAAUGCCUCUGUGGAUGCAAAGCCCAGAAGAACAGUUAUUAAAAAAUAAAAACAUCCGAAUUGCAUCGGAGCCCAAUGGACAUGUCGCUGCUGAAACCUUCUAAGUAUAAAAAGUUGCUUGGAGACAGCUGGAGCACCUGUGCUGCAGAGACCUUUCUGGAUUUUAAGUUUGAGAAAUCAGAAAAAAAAAACCUACCAGAGAUCAUGCAUGUCUUAAACUUAAAGAGGGAGGAUUUUUAGGCGGCAUAUUUUGACAAAUAGUAACAGGAAAAUGCAAAUAUACAUCUCUGUGAGAGUUAACUCCUUUUGAUUUUGCAGCCAACAAUGGAUUCUAAGAUGGACAAAAAACAGUUGGUUAUUUCAGAGGACUCACAGAAGCUGAACUUAUACAUUAUAGAUUUUCGAAAGUGACAUUCUAAGCAAGUUUUCCAAAUGGCUGCCUUCCUUUCCGUGGAGGAUGUUCCCUUUGAAAAUGUACUGAGGCAUUAUGUCAUGAGACUAUUUCUAGGUGAAUAAUAAAAUAGUAACGAUAAGUUCAAAUUUCA